UACGUAUGGUGCAAGCGUUAUCCGGAUUUACUGGGUGUAAAGGGAGCGCAGGCGGUCUUUUAAGUCUGAUGUGAAAGCCUUCGGCUUAACCGGAGUAGUGCAUUGGAAACUGGGAGACUUGAGUGCAGAAGAGGAGAGUGGAACUCCAUGUGUAGCGGUGAAAUGCGUAGAUAUAUGGAAGAACACCAGUGGCGAAAGCGGCUCUCUGGUCUGUAACUGACGCUGAGGUUCGAAAGCGUGGGUAGCAAACAGG
rnacentral:rRNA from 1 species